rnacentral:tRNA from 1 species
GGGCCGGCUGCCCGGGCGGGGUCGGCCAUGCGUCGGCCGGGGGUGCGGCCGGGGCCGGCCGGCAGGCGUGUUCGACGGUCGUCAGGACCU